CCUGCACCCUACACCCUGUCAAACCCUAGCUAUUAUCUACUGGGUUUCUUUCUUGGUGUUGAUAGUUUGUUGGAGAUUAGGCGUUUGAUUUCCUUUACAAAAUAGGUUCAGUUUGAAAUUGCGGCCAAAGCAAUGUUUUCAUGUGGUUUCAUCAAUUUUAGUUUCUAUAUUUACAUGUGUUUGAUUGUCCCUUGCCCUCGUUUAGAUAGAGAUUUCUAUCAAGAGUAUAGAAAGUUGGUGCCUGACAACUAGCUGCUUGCAUUCAUCCACCCCCUACUCUUAUCUUGCAAAAGCCCACUUCUUGUGUUUUGCUUGUAUAUAUAUUAGGCUGGACCAAAGUGCGGUUAAGUAACCUCUAACAAAUUGUCAUGACAUGAGCUGAUUAGCGGUCUAUUGUAAGCCCGCUCGGACUUACGAAAGUGGAGGUCACAUUUCCAUUCCACCAAUGCAUGUAGAUUUUGGUUCAGACUUCCAUCAGUGAAUGAAAAAAGGAAAAGCAAGAGAGAAUAGCAAGUACUUAUAUCAGUAUAAAAAUAUACCAAUGGGUAGUGAGCCUGCAACGUUGUGUACGUAUACAUGGGGAAAAUAUUUGGUUUGUGGCUUGUGUGAAAGGACAAUUUAGGUUUGUAUUCUAUAUCUGAGGACCAUUCAUAGCUUUCAGAUUUUGUUAUAAUUGUCAUCCCAUGGUUCUGCUCGGAACAACUCUUUCUCCAGGAUUGUUUUGGGACUGGUCAUUGCGGGCAUGUUGAGGGUAUUUAGUUAAGCAAUUUUGUUAUUAUUUUAGAUUGAGUACAUCAACUCGUUGGUUGCUUACAUUUUCUUGGUCCCUAGAGCUACUCACCUCGCUGGUUGUUUACAUUUCCUUGUUCCUGGGAUCCACUUUCCUAAAAUGAAUCUGUUUUAAUCUUGUAACUGGAACUGGUGGAUAUUUUGAUAGGGAAAUUACGAUGAUUGAUUUCUGGAUUUGAGUUUCAGAUUUUUUUUGCUUGUACUGGCCUCUUGAGAUUGGAAGACUGGCGUUGUUGUGGGCUUGUGGCAUAGGCUUCCUUUGUGGGUCUUUUUCUCAUCUGAUGUAAACAAUAUUUUUUAGUCUGGUAACGGUGCAAAGGCAAAUGGGGCAUCAUCACAUAUCUAGGUCGUAUUUUCGACAGACAGAUAUAAAACGGAGUGGGAAUGCCUCGAUUGAUAUCAUGUCCAAGUUCUUCAAGCUGAUGGUGGUAGGUG